CAGAGGGUAGUUUAAUUAAAAUUUUAAUUUUGGAGAUUAAUGAAGGGGUUUCUCUCCUCUGA
rnacentral:tRNA from 1 species